rnacentral:lncRNA from 1 species
UCCGAUCGUAUUUAAUUUAAAUAAUAAUUUUUUUAAUAUUGGCCGCUGAUGGACUACUGGUUCUCUGAAGAGCAGAACACGGCGCAACUUCCCAUGAGCUCCCCUUCUUCAUUCUCACAAUCUGACGCCUCACCCUCCCUAACUUCUACGAAAAAACGCACACACACACAGACUAAAACGAGAAAGAGAGGAAGUUUGCACUUCAAAAUUGCAGAUCUAGAAAACUAAAAGAAAAAUCGAUAGAAAGGGUAAAAAAGGCUGUCCGAAUUUUUGCUUUCAUGGCUCGAUCUUUUCCGGCAUUCGACGGCUAUUUUGAGUUAUUAGUUUGCUGGGACUUUGCUGUUGUUUUCCUGUUCGACUUCGCUGCUUUUUGGAUUGCCGAGUAUCAUUUUUCAACUGCUUAGACUUUAUUUGGCUCGCAUCAGAUUUUCAGUUUCUGAGAGCAUUUGUCUUCGGCUUUCAUUUGGUUUGUUUCAGUCCAUUUUGCUUUCAGCUAGGUAAGUUCCAAACACCCCUUGUAUUGUGCUUUCAUUUGAAGGAUUAAAAAUGGCUGAUUUUAAUUAGAACCCUACUGUUAGUUCAUAUGACCAUUCUAUUUCGGAAAUUUUGUUUGGUUGUAUAAGCAUUGGGGUAAUUUGUUAAAACAAUAUGAUCAAUAUGAUCAAUAUGCAAUCUGAUAUUUUCUUCUCUGUCAUUU